CCAAUAGCGUAUAUUAAAGUUGUUGCAGUUAAAAAGCUCGUAGUUGAAUUUCGGGAUCAGUUGGUCGGUCGUGCCUCGGUACGUACUGGUCAAAUUGAUUCCUACCUUCUGACGAACCACGAUGUCAUUAAUUUGGUGUCGCGGGGAAUCAGGACUGUUACUUUGAAAAAAUUAGUGUGUUUAAAGCAGGCUCGCGCUUGAAUACAUUAGCAUGGAAUAA
rnacentral:rRNA from 1 species